rnacentral:rRNA from 1 species
UACGGAGGGUGCAAGCGUUAUCCGGAUUCACUGGGUUUAAAGGGCGCGUAGGCGGGUCGGAAAGUCCGCGGUGAAAUCCCCCCGCUCAACGGGGGAACGGCCGCGGAUACUGUCGGCCUCGAGGGGGGUAGGGGCGAGCGGAACGCUGGGUGGAGCGGUGAAAUGCGUUGAUAUCCAGCGGAACUCCGGUGGCGAAGGCGGCUCGCUGGACCUUCACUGACGCUGAGGCGCGAAAGCCAGGGGAGCGAACGGG